CAAAUUCUUAAGGGCCCGAAGCUCUUUGAGCUCUUCUUCGUGCUUCUGGCGAUGUGCCAGAUGCUUUGAUCCUUUAGCUUGACAGAUCGACAUUUGUAUCAGUGAUGACCCGAUGAGUGGCCUUGGUCGUUUUCAGUUCUUCUUUGAUUUUGUCGAUAUCCUUCCGAAGGCAUUCAUUGUUGAAGAGAGCAAUAUCAAGAUUGUUUCUUUCUUUUGCCAACACAGACUUCUGGAUGGCGUUAUCUCUUUGGCAUUCUCUUCGG
rnacentral:lncRNA from 1 species